rnacentral:rRNA from 1 species
AUGGAGUUAUCGAUGAAGCUCAUGAUCGACACCAAGUCUCAGAAGGUGUGCUUUGCCGAGGCCGGAAGCGACGUCGUGGAGUUCCUCACCGGCCUCCUGUCCCUGCCGCUGGGCACCGCCCUCGACCUACUGACCAAGGAGCGCUUGGUCGGCAGCAUCAGCAACGUGCUCAACAGCGUGGAGAAGCUAGAUGCGAACUACAAGAGCAAGAUGCGGUGCCUUAGCCCGGCCGUCAACCCCGCCGCGCUCCCCCUCCUACAGCAGCUGUUGGACACACAACUCAGCAACGGUGACACCUACACAUGUGGAGCCUGUGGAUAUCUAUCGGCGAUAGAUGACAGAGUCUGCCCUAGAUGCAAAUGUUAUAUGCGCAGGGCUAUGACGGUCGCCGCCGGAAAAAACGGGACCACGCCGGUACCUGUGGGCAUGUACACUGUCGGGGAUGACCUGUCCGUGACUUCGGCCUCUUUUUUCGCGACGAUCUCGCUGUUGGGCAUCAAGGAUCUCAGCGCCUUGCAGGAAAAGACAGUGAAGAUCGGCAAGGAAGAGGCACUAGAGAUAUUUGCUGCUUCCCUCAAGUCCAAGACCGUCCUGUCGGAUGUCUUUCUACCGAAGAAGAAUGCUCGCCUCAAGAGAGAACAUCCCGAGGGAGUCAUUCACAUAUGA